rfam:Georgenia sp. STBG003 Ion020_assembly_c44, whole genome shotgun sequence.
CACGUGCUCCGGGGUCGGUGAGAGUCCGAACCGGCGGUGACAGUCCGCGAGCCGGCACCUCGGUGCCGGUUGACCUGGUGGAACUCCAGGACCGACGGUGAAAGUCCGGAUGGGAGGAAGCACGCG